AACGGAUCGAUGCGCGGCUUCCAAGAAAAGUUUCGCACCGGAGUGUAUAGAGAGCCCGUACCAAAACCGACACAGGUAGGCGAGAAGAGCAUUCUAAGGCGUUGAGAUAACCCUGGUUAAGGAACUCGGCAAAUUGACACCGUAACUUCGGGAGAAGGUGUGCCC
rnacentral:rRNA from 1 species